rnacentral:rRNA from 1 species
GGGGAAUAUUGCACAAUGGGCGCAAGCCUGAUGCAGCGACGCCGCGUGCGGGAUGACGGCCUUCGGGUUGUAAACCGCUUUUGACUGGGAGCAAGCCCUUCGGGGUGAGUGUACCUUUCGAAUAAGCACCGGCUAACUACGUGCCAGCAGCCGCGGUAAUACGUAGGGUGCAAGCGUUAUCCGGAAUUAUUGGGCGUAAAGGGCUCGUAGGCGGUUCGUCGCGUCCGGUGUGAAAGUCCAUCGCUUAACGGUGGAUCCGCGCCGGGUACGGGCGGGCUUGAGUGCGGUAGGGGAGACUGGAAUUCCCGGUGUAACGGUGGAAUGUGUAGAUAUCGGGAAGAACACCAAUGGCGAAGGCAGGUCUCUGGGCCGUCACUGACGCUGAGGAGCGAAAGCGUGGGGAGCGAACAGGAUUAGAUACCCUGGUAGUCCACGCCGUAAACGGUGGAUGCUGGAUGUGGGGACCAUUCCACGGUCUCCGUGUCGGAGCCAACGCGUUAAGCAUCCCGCCUGGGGAGUACGGCCGCAAGGCUAAAACUCAAAGAAAUUGACGGGGGCCCGCACAAGCGGCGGAGCAUGCGGAUUAAUUCGAUGCAACGCGAAGAACCUUACCUGGGCUUGACAUGUUCCCGACAGCCGUAGAGAUACGGUCUCCCUUCGGGGCGGGUUCACAGGUGGUGCAUGGUCGUCGUCAGCUCGUGUCGUGAGAUGUUGGGUUAAGUCCCGCAACGAGCGCAACCCUCGCCCUGUGUUGCCAGCACGUCGUGGUGGGAACUCACGGGGGACCGCCGGGGUCAACUCGGAGGAAGGUGGGGAUGACGUCAGAUCAUCAUGCCCCUUACGUCCAGGGCUUCACGCAUGCUACAAUGGCCGGUACAACGGGAUGCGACACUGUGAGGUGGAGCGGAUCCCUUAAAACCGGUCUCAGUUCGGAUUGGAGUCUGCAACCCGACUCCAUGAAGGCGGAGUCGCUAGUAAUCGCGGAUCAGCAACGCCGCGGUGAAUGCGUUCCCG